GGCGGGGGCGAGGAGCCGGGAGCACGGUGGAGCGGUGGAGGGCGUCACUGGGUUUCGGCGUCUGGCAAGCGGUUCAGCUGUCUGCUCCCUAGCAGCCGGCCUUCGGGUCGGGCGUCUCCGCCGGCUACUGCCGCUUCAGUUCUCCCGGUGUGGCCACGAGUCGGUACGUAGAAAACAGGACCAAGAGCAGGGAGCAUGGCAUUGCAAUGCGAAAGAAACUUUUUAAUCCUCCAGAGGAAUCCGAAAAAUAAAUUGUAUUUUCACUCGAUGCCUUGGCUGAGAGAAGACCUAAAGACUCUGGGUUGAUACCUGAAAGAAUCCUGUCUUAUUUGGUCUCCAUAAUCCUUUGAAUGGAAAGUGACCUGUGAGAGAUUGAACCAUGGAGAAAUAUGAAAACCCUGGAUUCUGAGUAUUUGUUGGGCAGGGCGUUUAGUACUGUCUCCCCUUUACCAGCAAACCUGACUUCACCAUGUUUAUUCCCUUUGCCUACAACCAGUUAAUAUCUGAGUAACUUAUCUCCUUCAAUAAAAUAAUUUAAAU
rnacentral:lncRNA from 1 species